ensembl:snoRNA
AACGGAUGAUAAAUUUAUUGAUGAGUGGACAGAAACUGUGUGCUGAUUGUCAUGUUCUGAUUU